UCUGGUCUAGCCCAUCAUCUAGGAAUCAAUGGUGAUGGACAUCACUGGAACUCGGCAUUUGGCCGUAAUUUAGGAGGGUAUCCUCCUUACUUGUCGCACUGCGGACCGCCUCAUUCAUCGCAUUUUCCUCACAUACUACCGUUGACUGGCUCCGAUCAUCCAAGAGAAACGUCGCCUAGAGAUUUAUUACGAUCCUCGUCGGAGCCGCUGGGUCCGCUCAACAUCAACGUGGGGAACCACAACCACAGCCACAACCACGCGAGUCCUGCUGGAAAGCUACACCCUCACCCCCACCCCCGCUUAGGUCGGGGGCACCCGUUCCCCAUCGGAGUCGGCCGCCGCGGCAGACGGCACAAGCCCUUUCCGACCUGAAAAACCCCGCGGGCGAUCCCCCGACCGGACCCUCCACUACCGAUGGGCUUCAGAACUCGGUCGCCCCCCGGUUUCCCCCUAGCCUUCCGUUCCAGCAAAACCCCUCGUUUUUCAGCCUUUUCCUGAACCCAUCCCUGUCGACGCAGUGGCUUUACUCGCAGUUCUACCCGAACCCCUAUUCGCAGCUCCACUUAAGGCAGCAGAUCUUCGAGGAUGCCAAGGCCAAGGAAGUGCCUGACAGUCCCAAGUCCGACGACUCCAAAAAAGCUUCCAGUCCAACGCCAACGCCGGAUGAUCAAAACAAAUCGUCUUCCUCCUCCAAGUCCAGCGAUAAGUCCCCGCCGGAAAAGACCUCCAAAAACUCGGACGUUUGGAGGCCGUAUUAGACGUGAAAAAAAUCAGAUCUUUGUCACGGGUAUCUAAAGAUUUACGAGGGUUACGAUUAAUCGAGGUGUAUUACAUUCUCGUUAUGUGGCUGGACAGAUUUACGUUCAGGGUUUUGCCAACUUUUUAAUAAAUUGAAACUUCCGAAUGUUAAUUUUAAAGAAAAAUAAUUGUGUAAAUUUGAAUAUUGUACAUAUAUUUAGUAUUGUUGAAAGAAAAGAAGAAGUUGCGCAGUUUUGAAAACCUGUAAUUGUGCUGGUUCAUUUAUGCUAAAUGCGAUAGAAUCAUAGACCUUACACCCUGAUUGGAAGUUGAUUUCUGAAUGAUUAUGAUGAAUGCAUUAUUGUCAUAAAUAGAUGUUCUCUGAAUUGUUUUAUUAAUCCCUGUGAAUAUGGGUCUGAGAUCAGAGCCUUAUAGCAACCGUUUUGAAGAUACCAAUCAGAUUGGUUCAACGCCAUUCCCUUCAAAAGAACUGUUAUUCCCAACUUUUUAAACCGGUUCGAUCGGAUACCGGAGGAUAUUCAUCGAAAGUUUAUUUUUUAUUAUACACAGACAGCGAACAAAUUGCAACAGACGAUGAUUUGGGGCACUAUACUGCCGUGCUAAGGAAGAACGCCGUAUGAGCAUUCGAGAGUUGCCAAAUUUCCCUCGGUGAAAUGUUUAUUUUUGCGGUAGGUUAUGAAUAUUUUUCCUUGACAUUUUCAGGAACUUCCGGUAAAAUUGCGAACAAAAUUCCCUGAAAAAUUGGAAGGAAAAUAUUCAUAAGUUUACCAAAAAGUUCAUGUUUUAUCGAAAAUAAUUUGGCAACGUCUGAAGGUUCAUACGGCGUUUUUCCUUAGCACGGCAGUAUAGGUUAUUGGUUGCCAGCGAGAGAACCGAUCAUUAUUGUCCUCCAGAGAAAAUUGGAAAACCGAAAAGUCUCAAAGUUGCUUGCAAUUUCGAUUCAGCACAUUGCAACGAGCAACACAAGCUCCAAAAAUCCAACUGAGGGGAGAAUGAGUUCAAUCCGCAGUAUUGCCUGACACCGAACUCUUACAAAGAAGGAAAAACAACAUAAAGGAAAGGUGGCGAUGGAUUUACGAGGAUCCAGCAGUAAUUUUAAUAAAAUAAAAUGAUGCUUGAAUUCAUAUAUUGCCUACUGGUUUAUAAUGUGUAUAAAAUGGUUAGGAAGAAGUCAGUUCUGUAAGUUUAUUAAUGUGUACCUGUACAUAUUUCAUGGUUUUUACUUUCUCGCUCCCCUAGUUUUUAUGUGCAGUUGCAGCCUGAGAGGUGUGAGGGCACAAACCUAGUGUUUUAUCAUUCGAGAUCUUCCAUUGAUUGUCCGAAUUUUGACGCUGUAAUGUGAUAUUCGUUCAUCCAUUGAAAUUUUUACCUUAUUUAUAUAAAAUCUUAGGAGGUGACAAAUUAUGGAUCCGGAAAACCUUAAUCCUUCUUUAUUCGGUUCUUAUUGUUCUGACAUGUUAUCUAGAAUGGAGCUUUCGACAAAACCCAUAACUGUUCUAUUUGACUGAGCUACUAACACUAUAAAUCAUUCCUUCUCAUGCGAUCAUUUUCCAUUUUUGUCUUUUUCAUAUUAGGCGUUGAAAAAUUAAUAUUGAGUCCUGACCGUUUCUUCUUUCAGUCAACAAAAACGGUUUUCAAAAGUCAUAUUUUUCAUGGUAUACAGCAAACCUUAAGAAUUUUAUUCUUUAAUUUUCCGACGGAAGUAAUUUUCAUUGAAUAUUGUAUGAAACAACUCAUUUACAUAGCUUCUCCAAAUGAUGCGCCUCUUAAAUCUAUAUGCUAUUCAGGUCCUGCUGGUAUAAUGGCUUAUUAAAUUAAAAUACCCUUCGAGGUUAACGCGGUGUUUGAAAACAAACCUUCACUGUAAGAAAUUACAGAACUGAUUGCUUUCGUCUGGUGACUCAGCAGGAACGCAGCCGACCUGAUUUGAAUAUUGAAGUCUCCACUGAUGCCAUGGCGCAGUAUAGCUCACAAUCAGUUUUCCGGUGUGCAAACUUAUUUGUUGAGUGCUGUUGACGUAACAUUGACUUUGUAGGAUAGGGUCACUAGUGCGCCUCCAAUAUUUCGUGUAUGCAAUCCGGACAGUCGUCGAACACGAAUAAUUGCAUCAAGAAGUCCGUAGCAAUUUAGCAAGGCGCCGCACACUGUGGUAUUGGACCUGAAAAGCUGGCCAAAACUAUUUAUCACCAGAUAUCGCCGAGUUUUAAAAAUAUUUUACAAUCAGUACUUCUUCUUAAGAGAUAAUAUGCACACUUUAACCACCUAACACGUCAUAUGACAAUUUGCGGAGAGUUUAAAGCGGAUGGAAGAAGCCCUCCAAAAAGCCUUUAAAAGGACGCAAAGUAUCUGACUAAAGCGGUGCAUUUAGACGAGUUUCUCCUUCACCUAUGGUCCACUUUUCGAAAUUAGGACUCUCUAUGACCUCAUUAAUGGU
rnacentral:lncRNA from 1 species